rnacentral:misc_RNA from 1 species
GAUGAAGAACGUAGCGAAAUGCGAUAAGUAAUGUGAAUUGCAGAAUUCAGUGAAUCAUCGAGUCUUUGAACGCACAUUGCGCCCCCUGGUAUUCCGGGGGGCAUGCCUGUCCGAGCGUCAUUGCUGCCCAUCAAGCACGGCUUGUGUGUUGGGUCGUCGUCCCCCCCUCCGGGGGGGGACGGGCCCUAAAGGCAGCGGCGGCACCGCGUCCGAUCCUCGAGCGUAUGGGGCUUUGUCACCCGCUCUGUAGGCCCGGCCGGCGCUUGCCGAACGCAAAACAACCAUUCUUUCCAGGUUGACCUCGGAUCAGGUAGGGAUACCCGCUGAACUUAAGCAUAUCAAUAAGCGGAGGA